rnacentral:lncRNA from 1 species
UAUGGUACUUCAGAAAAUGUAAAGAGAAUUUUUUUUCGCUUGAUUGAGUAUUUCCAAAAGAGUAAAUCACUGUUUAUAUCGACAUGUUAUUUUUUCAGUUCUCGUUUUGAAGAAGUGCAAAAGGACUCGGACAAACUGUCGAAAUACUGGAGAUACUCAGUAAUAACGCAAUAUAGAAACCGACAUCCUGUUCCAUUGAAUCUGUUAUUUCUACCAUGGAGAAUAUGGAGAAUUCGAUUGUUGCAAACAGCAGUGUGAUUGUAGGAAAGAAGGUAUGUUUAACGAAAUGUUAUAUGUGAUUCCUAUUGUCAUUUCAUUCACACACAAAAACACAAAAAACACUAUCACUUAAUAAACAGUAUGACGUUGCGCACGGUAUAUACUACUUAUAAUUGAACAGAAUAUCAUGUUAUGGAGGGGUAUUUUUCACAAAUACCCCUCCAUAACAUGAUAUAUCUGUACCGGUUUUAUCUUUUCAAUAAUAAGUAGUAAAACGUCUUGCCAUAGAAACAGUUCAAUUUCGACUGAUGUGAUUCAUUUGUUGGUUACUACAUUAUUUUUUUGAUAAUUUGGCCGUACAAGGAAAAUUUCAUAAUUGAACCACGUCCCCUACUGGUUCAAUUUAUGACCUUUAUUCCCUGAAAGAUUUUUAAAAUUAUAGUUUUGUUGAAAAAAAAGGGAUAAUAACCGUACAUAGUAAGCAAAUAUUUAUGAAAAAGGACCAAUGUGAAUUUCAGUUUGAAGACUCGAUAUGUAUAUUUGGCUUACUCGGCCGUGGUGGUGAUUUAAUAUAUUACAAAAAGAUAUAUAUGAAGCUAAUUGGAAACAGACGUGUUAAAUGCCAAAUUAACGACAUCAGCUUAAAAUAUGCUGCAUCCGGUAUGAAACUGGUAUUUUACUUCACUGUGUAUCAAUUUGCAAUUUUCAUGAGAUUAAGAUACUUUCAGAUGUUAAAACAGUGAGUCAAGAAACACAGAAUCUACAUGCUGUAAAAUGUCUGUAUAUUGAGUCCAUGAAGACAAAGUAGGAUCUGACGUUUUAUGACAAAGAAAUAGGUGUAAAGGGAAUAACAUUGAUAUGUAAAGCGUUGUACAAAUGUUAAAACACGAAUUUAAAAACCUGAAUAGUUUUUCUUUAGAUGUUGAUCCCUGCAUAUAUAAAUAAGAGGAGUGUAUCGGAAUACCUUUUACAGCCGAUUGCAUUGAGAGUGUAGGUAAAUGUAAUAGACUUACAGCCGAUUGCAUUGAGUGUGUAUAUUACCCUCCUUUCGAAGUAGUCAGUAGUCUAGUCUUACAGACAGAUAGAUUGUUUAUCUAUCAGACUUAGUCUACACUUAAAGGAGGGUAGUUUACCUAACGUAAUAAUGGCUUCACGGUUUUGCUAACAAGCAAGAUAACCAAACAUAUUAUCUUUCCCUACACACUCAAUGCAAUAGGCUGUAAGUCUUCCACUCCGAUUCCACGGCUAUCUGUUGAUAGAGAAAACAUUUUUUAUGUUCACUUUUCCUUUUUUUUUUUUUGGUUAAUUUUUCAUUUAGUAAUUUCAUUCAAAUUCUAUGACAUUAUUUACCUUCGAAAAUAUCGUUUACUUAUAUAAUAGAUGCAGUUUUAAAUCAGUGGAUGACAUUUAAGCGCAUUGAUAAGACAUUUUAGUGAGAGAAAAAAAAUCAGACGUUUUAGCGCGGAAGUAAUGUAUAACCCAUUUAAGCGAAAAUUAUAUUUAACCCAUUUUAAACCCAUUUUCAUUAACUGAUUAAGGAAUGACUGUAAUAUUUUUUUCUGACUAUGAAGAAACAGCGUAAAAAAUUUGAUAUACACUGAUAACCUGCGUAGCGGUUUAUUUUAAAGUGGGCACCAUUUUUUUUUAUGUUAUUUCGUAAAAGGGUGCGAUUUUUGUAUUUUUGUAUUUAUAAGUUUGCAAUUUUGAAUCAUGUGUUUUGUUUUAAAUUUUAUUGAGUGAUUUUUAUAAACAGUGUGUGAUUUUUUUUUUAUCCCCAG